rnacentral:pre_miRNA from 1 species
AGUGGGAUAACUGGGUCAAAUGGUGGUUUCAUUCCAAGUUUUCUAAGGUAUCUCCAUACUGCUUUUCAUAAUGGUUGCACCAAUUUGCAGUCCCAUUAGCCAU